rnacentral:lncRNA from 1 species
CCCAUGGGACCCCCACUCUCCUGAUUCGUAUUCUUCUGACCGAUCUGUUUGCAUAAAUCAGAGAGAACAGCGCUUUGUUGUUGCAUCUGUUGAGCUAACGUCUGCAGUGUUGCUUUGACGUCCACCAUCUGUGUUUCGACGUCAACCAUCUGUGUUUCCAACGCGUCCAUACGAUCCCCCAUCUUGGGCUUUCGUGGCAUCUACAAUUUCGGUGUGGUGGUGAUUUUUUUGAUCCGGUAGGUCGGACCAAUUGUUAGGUUCUUAUAUGAAUAUAUGGAAGAAAUAGAGAAUAAUUGAAUGGAAUAAUAAAAGAAUGAAUCGAUUGUAAAAUAAUAAUGAAAUUAACAACUGAUGGUGAAUACCAAUCAGCCCCUAAGCACACAGUGCUUCCCUCACCAAGAUGGUGAAUCCUAAUUGAUUUCCUUGAUACUUAAAUCCUACCUUUCUGUCCUCUUUUAUAGCCACAAGCUUAUUCCUAUUUUAUCGAAACAAACCCCCCUAAUUAAAAUAACAAACUUCUGUAAUAACUAAUUCCUAUAAUACCUAUUUUAUCGAAACAAACCCCCCUAAUUAAAAUAACAAACUUCUGUAAUAACUAAUUCCUAUAAUAACUCUAACAAACUCCUAUGAUUAUUUCUUUUAUUCUUUUAUUCUUUUACUUCUCUUGUAACUGUCCAGGCCCACCACUUGAUCCAUCUUUCUAUCACAAUCCAAGGUUGUAUCUGAACCUAUGUUUGAUGUAUACAUAUUUGCGAGUCUUAUAAAUGCCUAGUUAUUCCCACCAAAGUUUAG